UACGUAGGUGGCAAGCGUUGUCCGGAUUUACUGGGCGUAAAGAGCGCGCAGGCGGUCGUUCAAGUCGCGUGUGAAAGCCCCCGGCUCAACUGGGGAGGGUCACGCGAUACUGAUCGACUCGAAGGCAGGAGAGGGUAGUGGAAUUCCCGGUGUAGUGGUGAAAUGCGUAGAUAUCGGGGGGAACACCAGUGGCGAAGGCGACUACCUGGCCUGUUUCUUGACGCUGAGGCGCGAAAGCUAGGGGAGCAAACGGG
rnacentral:rRNA from 1 species